AUUUGCCAUGUGUCAGGUGGUGUCUUGGGGCUCAAUCUCUCUGCCCUAUCUUUUUUUUAAAAACAUCUUAUUACCAAAAUAACAUACUCUCUUUGAAAUAAAAUUUAGAAGUUAUUUACUCUCUUUCAAAAGUGUUCUUGACAAUGAAUUGUGAUUGGCUGAUUAUUAUCUAUUUGGCUCUUUAGAUCAGCCUUUUUCGGCCCUGUAGGCUGACCUCUAUUGAUUCGAUCACCUGAAUGCUAGCUGGGUUUGGCUGCAGACUAAAUUUAGCCUUUGGAAGAUUGGAGGGGGAAAUACACACACACACACACACACACACACACACACACACACACACAGAUUGAGAUUGAAAUAUUUCUUCUUUUCCUGCCACAGUUUUGACACUGGUUGGAUCUUGACAUGGCAAAGCUUCUACAGCUCCUGCUCUUCACCAGGCAGUGGUAACAUGUUGGUUUUGGCAAAUACAUGAUAUGGGCACAAAUAGAGAUUGACAAGGGAUCGUUGAGAGCUGUGCCUUGAGCUGUAAUUUCUGUCAAGGGGGUAGAAGAUGGAUGCAGUGAGGCCUCCACCUGGUAUAUUGGGGAUUGGGUGGCAGAGAUCCCCUGGCCCUCACCUCCUACUUCUUCCCUACCUUCCUCCCUUGUAGCACUUUGUUACAUGUACUACUGGAUGCUGGACCCAGAAUAGAUGUAUUUGUCACUCAUAAUUAUGUGUUUAAUAUAUGUCUCCUCCAUUUGACUCUAAACUCCUUGAAAGCAGGGUCCUUGUCUGUCUUGAUCACUGUAGUAUCCCCACUACCUAGCAGCAGGUUUGCCACAGAAUACAUACUUAAUAAAUGCUUCCUGAAUGAAGGAAUGGAUGAAUUGUCUUUCUAGAUAAGCUCUUCCUCCCUCUUCAUCCUACGUCCAUCCCAAGCCCUACCCAUGGCCAACUUCUAGCUCUUCUCUGAAUAUGCAAUGCUCUCUGCCUUUUCCUAGUGCUCCUCCCCACUUUUCCUGAAAUUGUACUUCUCCAUCCCGUCUUCCUGAUGAGAAUUCUUACUCUUUACACACUCCCUAAGAAGCCUUAUCAUGUCCACCACCACCUACAAAUUGAGGGCUCCUCAUAUCUGCAAGCUGGCCCACAGAGCCUUCCCUCCUUAGUUCAGAUCCAGAUUUCCAACUACCAGCUGGACGUUUCUAUCCAAGUAUUCCCACAACAUCUCAAACUCAACAUUCAUAAUACUGAAUUCAUCAUUUGUACCCCAAUUCCGUUCCUGGGACCUUUGGUUCAGUAACGGGCUCCUCCUUCUCCCACUCCUCGCACAACACAUCAAUUUUACCUCUAACCACUUCUUCAGUUUGUCAGCCCUUCUCUACUCCCACUGACACAACCCAAGUUCAGGCUCAUCCCUCCCCUGCACCACUGAAACAGCUUCUUCUCGGUCUGUUGUCCUCAUCAGAAUUUUCCUUUGUUCUGUCGCCAUAACUGACUUCUAAAACUAAAAUCCUGAGCAAUGAAGUUCUUCCUAGCCUGCUGCAGAAACUCCAAACAAAGAUGUCCAAGAUCAGGCUUCUCCAGCUUCGGUUUCCACAGCCUUACAGCCCUGCCAGUCGCACAGCACACAAACAGAUGGUUAGACUCAGUCCUUUUGAGACCACGCAUUCUUGAAUACGGCACGAACCUGAGAAGGAGAGGCCUGUUCAAAGGUUUAGUGAUUUAUUUAGCACCAGUGCAGGCACGUAUUCAUCUCCGUGAAAUCAGGAGAUUCCCGAGCCUGCGCUCACACCGCAUUCAGGGAAGUGGUCUCGAGUCCGGAAAAUCCUGGCGUCACGUGCCCCACCCCUCCAGGUUCCUCAGCUCACCUGAAUCUCAAGAAUUCUUGGGCUGAGCAAGGCGGACACGAUUCUCCCGUUAAAAGCUAGGGGGGCAUGUGACCAAAAGAAGCCAUGAAAGGACGUGGCUCCCCCAGCGUGGCCAGUGGAGCUCUACCAUGUCUCCAGUGUCCACGAGUCAACGCCAGUGGGGUUUGCGAGACUGGGGAAAGUGUCUGCGAGACUCAAGGCAGCCAGCGGUGCUUCCUGAGGAAGGUCUACGAAGAUGACAGGCUCCUGUAUGGAUACCAGGGCUGUGGGGACCUGUGCCUCUCCAUGUCUUUCUUCAGACAAAGUGUUCAAGUGGAUUUUGUAUGCUGCAAUGACACCCCUUUCUGUAACAGAUUUUAGAGACUUGGCCCUUUAGCCCUUUUCUCCCAUUUAGCCCUUUUCUGUACUCCUGCAGCCUCAAAGGACGGGGCCAUCCUUCCCCAGCACUGUUCAAGCCCCGAAGCCUGCUCCUACUAAGCUACGGGUGGUGACGUUUCCACAGCUUCACCCACCAGACCGAUGCUUCCUGUUUCCCAUCGCCCCUGCUGCUCUUUUUCUCGGAUUCCUGUCUCCCCCCCCCCUUUCUCUCUCUGUACCCACAUCCCUCCUCGCUUCCCCUGUCAUUGGCUGGCAUAUAACAAGCUCUCCCUCCUCCCCCUUUUCCUUCCUCUGACAAAUACUUUCUGACGGCUAAGCCCGGGAGUUCGAUGCUGAUUAGAGAGCAGUGAAUAAAACAGACCUGAUCUCUGUCCUCAAUCAAUGUGCCUUCAUUUUAGUGGCUCCUUUUCUGCCAGGUGACCCGGGUCACAAUAGCUCCAGUAUCUUGCCUCGUUCUUACUCACAGGACUUAAGGCUGGAAGGGACUCCUUCACCAGCCCCUCUGUCACACACACACACACACACACACACACACACACACACACACACUCUUUUUCUCUGUCUCCCUCAGUCUUCCCCCCUUUCCACUGUGUAGCUUUUUCUGAAUAAAUCUUGCAUCGUGGUGUUGCUUAGA